rnacentral:lncRNA from 1 species
GUUUGCCCCUCAGUGGGAAGAAAGCUUCCAACUCCCAGCGGUUCCAGCAGAAGUCCUGGGGCUGGAGAGCUGUUCCUGAGUUGCCUGUGAUCACAUACCACACCUGAUGGCAUCACUGUAUCCAGGCUCCAGGUGCAUAGAAUGUUGUGAGGUCAUGACUGCCAGCAUUAUGACCAGUCUUGGAACUAGGAUUGGGGUGGGGUUCAUCCCACCCAGACCACAGAGACUGAAAAUAAGAAAGGGGUGAGGCCUAAGGGACAAUCAGGAUGUUUUUCAGAGAGAAGUGUGGAUGCUGGACAGGAAGAACCACAGAUACCAGAUACGGGUACUGUUGUAACUCUGUUCUCCAUGAAAAAAAAGGAAGAAUCAACACUUUCAGAGAUGGAGCCUGUUGAGCCACAGUACCAACUAGUCAAUGCUGAAUCGACUUCUCCCUUUCUACAUUGCCUGAGAGAAGUCAUUGGGGAAUACUCUAGAGUCAAGGGAUUGGAUUGUGGAUUGCAUUGGUGGUUUUCCUCAGUUUCCUCAUCUUCUCCACAAGUUUCUACAUAUCGAAUGCAGAGCAGCCCUUCUUCAAAGGACCUCCUACGGAAGCUGCUAAGGAACUCAGUCUGUAGCUCUGCGUGGAGCCAUGUGUAAACACUGAACUGAGACCUGCCACCUCCUACUACCUAAGGGCCCAUUUUCAUCUGAUAUCAUCCCCCAGAAACAAACUCAUGAUGACUUCCAUGUUUUUUUUAGAUUAGAUACAUGGAGAAUUUUCCUUUCCCUUAGAAUUAAAAUCCUGCAUUCUAAUUUUCAGUAAGCUUUUUU